CAAUAGCGUAUAUUUAAGUUGCUGCAGUUAAAAAGCUCGUAGUUGGAUUUCGGGUGGGAAUGGCCGGUCCGCCGUUUCGGUGUGCACUUGCUACGCCCACCUUGCUGCCGGGGACGUGCUCUUGAGUUCACGCUCGGGACACGGAGUCGGCGAGGUUACUUUGAGUAAAUUAGAGUGUUCAAAGCAGGCCUACGCUCUGAAUACAUUCGCAUGGAAUAACACGAUAGGACUCUGGCCUAUCUUGUUGGUCUGUAGGACCGGAGUAAUGAUUAAGAGGGACAGUCGGGGGCAUUCGUAUUUCAUUGUCAGAGGUGAAAUUCUUGGAUUUAUGAAAGACGAACUACUGCGAAAGCAUUUGCCAAGGAUGUUUUCAUUAA
rnacentral:rRNA from 1 species